ensembl:lncRNA
AAGCAAAGGCCAAAACUAUUCAGCUAUUUGCUAAGGAAACAUUUCUAUUUUUUAAAUGAAUUAAUUAUUUAUCAAUGUAAUUUAGUUCUAACAGUAUCUCAGUGUUGCUUUAAUAACACAGUGUUGUGAAGUGCAUGCUGGAGUUGAAUACUUUGUGUUUGGGGUUUGUUCAAAUCACCAACACUCUUCUGCUCAUUCAAUCAUAUGUGCUUUCGGGGGGAUAGAGGUCAUGCUUUCCAAGCCAGAGGUCAAAGGUCAGAGGUUUGUGGAGAUGGGGGUUCACCCUGACCGUGGCUCUGACCAAUGAGACGGUGUUGUGUCUCUUUCCCAUGACCCCACACACGAUGCUAAUGACUUCAGCGCUAUUGAUCCACAAAACCUGUUUUAAAGUACAAAUAUGAUAUUCUAACAUAACUUGUCUUGUGUUAUUGUGCUGAGAAAGAUCGAGCUCUCCACAGGUCGACGUGAUCAUUCAGUGAUCGUCACUAAUCAAUAACUGAUUAAACUGAGCACACAAACACACGUGCAUCAUCUGUUGAGCUUUAUGUUCAGACUCUUCAUGUCGUAGUGAUUUACAGAGACAUGUUGUGAAAUGUAUUAAAAUCACUUUUAAUACAUUACUGUUUUAAGCUUUAGUCAUAUUUAAGCGAAGCACCGCUAUUACUAUGUGAAUGGGUUAUUAUAGUUAAACUAACAAACUGUAAUAGCAACAUUUCUCAUUUUCAUAACUAAAACUGAAAUAAAAAUGAAGAAAAACUAUAUAUAUUGAUAUUUAAAAAAUAAUGACAAAAACAAAAUUACUGAAAACAAUUAUUACAAUUAAAAUGGAACAUAAAUGAUAAAAUAAAAACUUUAAAAAAUUAAUAAAAAAUUAAAUAUUAAUAUUAAAUAAAAAAGACAUUUUUAAAAAAUAAUAUUAAAAAUACUAGAAUGUUAACUAAAAUUAUGAAAAAAAGAAAAUAUACAAAUAAAAACCUAUUCAAGAUAUUAAUACAAAUUUUUUGUUAUUUUAAAAUAAAUGUUAAAUGAAAUAAAAAAAAUAAUAAAAUCAAACUUAGAACGAUUUCAUUUCAGCUUGUUACCAAGGCAACAUUUCACAUUUUCAUUCAGUUUAACGUGAAGUACUAAAAUAACUCCAACUAAAAUUGAAAUAAAAAUUAUAUACACAUAAGAAAAAUAAAAAUGACAAGAACAAUAAAAAAUACUAACAUAUUAACUAAAAUUACACUGAAAAUCUAAAAAUAAAAAUGCCCUGCAUCUCUGUGUUCAGUGCAGCGCUG